UUGGCUUCCCAGCAAAGUGGGAGGAGGAAUGGAAGGGAAUCCCUUCCGUCCCUCAUCCUGCUUCGCUGGGAAGCCAG